rnacentral:misc_RNA from 1 species
GAUGAAGAACGUAGCGAAAUGCGAUAAGUAAUGUGAAUUGCAGAAUUCUGUGAAUCAUCGAAUCUUUGAACGCACAUUGCGCCCGCCAGUAUUCUGGCGGGCAUGCCUGUUCGAGCGUCAUUUCAACCCUCAAGCCCCCGGGCUUGGUGUUGGGGAUCGGCGUGCCCUCGCGGCGCGCCGUCCCCUAAAUCUAGUGGCGGUCUCGCUGUAGCUUCCUCUGCGUAGUAGCAACACUCGCACUGGAUCGCAGCGCGGCCACGCCGUUAAACCCCCCACUUCUGAAAGUUUGACCUCGGAUCAGGUAGGAAUACCCGCUGAACUUAAGCAUAUCAAUAAGCGGAGGA